rnacentral:rRNA from 1 species
UACGGAAGGUGCGAGCGUUAAUCGGAAUUACUGGGCGUAAAGCGCGCGUAGGCGGUCGAGUAAGUCGGAUGUGAAAGCCCUGGGCUUAACCUGGGAAUUGCAUUCGAUACUGCUUGACUAGAGUAUGAUAGAGGGCAGUGGAAUUCCGGGUGUAGCGGUGAAAUGCGUAGAUAUCCGGAGGAACAUCAGUGGCGAAGGCGACUGCCUGGAUCAAUACUGACGCUGAGGUGCGAAAGCGUGGGGAGCAAACAGG